GUUGUUUAUAUCAAGGGCCCCAAAUUUUAGGUUUACCUCUGCCCCCCCACCCCCAGAAUCUCAGGACCGGCCCUUCCAGCGCAACAGGGUUAUACUAUAAGGCUUGUGCUAAUGAGUGAGGCCUGGUCCGAUUACAAGCCGCACGUUGGGCCGCAUCUAUUCGAGCCCAGUAAUGCCGAGCAUAUCGCAUCGCAGUAGCCCAGAUCCCAUGCCGUCCGCCGGAGCUCCUCCACCUCUGCUGGCGGCGCCCCAUUCCUCCCCCCGAGAGGCGCAGGCCGUCCUUCUUCCUCAUCCCGGGCCUUUUGCCGCACCGCCACCGCGCAGCUCGACGGGAUGCUGCCCUGCUAGACAGUGGAGGAGAUCGGACUUGCGGCGAUCGCAGAGGGGGAGGAGGAAGGUCGAUGUCGCGGAAGAGUCGUCGAUUGUCUUUUCCCGCGACGGCGGAGGGGCGGAGGUGGGAGUAAGAUUCGUCGAUACUUCCCACGACAGCCGGGGAGGGGGGGGGGGGGGGGGGGGGCGGAUUUGGGUUUUAGGUCGUCAACAAGGAGGAGAAGGGUGUCAAGAAUCUCCACAUGAAGGUAUAAUCCACCCUUCUCAUGUGCCUCCGCCGCCCCCCUAUAGUGCGACCUAUUAUUGUCAGAUGAUUCCUGCUAGGGUUGUGGCUGUGAUGGGUUAGCCAUGGCUUCGUGACAGAUAUUGUUAGCAUGAUCCGAAGCUAAACAGAUUGUUGUCUUUGUCUAGUGUCUUACUUUUUUCCUUUCGGAGAUGUACUUGCAUGAAAUAUAUAGACAUGCCAAGUUCUGCUGCUUUCAUGCCUAGCUCCUCUGCCUAACAUUUCUGCCUAGGGAUAUUGAGAAUUGAAGUAUAUGUUUAACCAGAGCAUUUACAAGCAAAUCUUUAUGCUUGCAAACACUGGUUACUCAUAAAAUGUUUUUCUUUAGAUUGUCGACAAUCAUCUGUAUUUUUUUUAUCAUUUGCACAUCCUUCUCAAACUUGAUAAAAUAAAUCACGGUCCUUGCAGCCUGCGUUGCCCUUAGAUUACAUACAUUCUCAUAAAACGUGCAAGACAGAAUGUUUCAAGGGCUGAGCAUGAUUAGAGUAUUAGGAUGUUUCAUGUUUUUUUCAUGGCAUGCUGUUCUCAACAAGGAGGAGAAAUGCGUCGAGAAUCUCUACAUGAAAGGUGUAACCCACCCUGCUCAUGUGCCUCCACAGAUCCCCUCUAGUGUGAGCUAUGAUUGCAAGAGGAUUCCUGAGAGUUGUCACUGUGAUGUCAAUUGGUCGUGUGGGUCAGCCAUGGCCUUGUGACUGACAUAUAGCAUUAUCCGUCUAUCCGAAGCUAAAAUAGAUUGUUGCCUUUUUCUAGCGUCUUACUUUUGCUUUUUGGCAACACUGGCAUGGCAUCUUUGGAUAUGCCAAGUAAAGUUGCUUUCAUGUCUAGCUCCUUUGCUUGACAUUUUCCCCUUAGGAAUAUCAGGGAUCGAAGUAUAAAAUUUAUAAUCAGACCAGUUAUAAUCUUUGUGCUUGCAAGCAUUGGUUAUUCAUAGAAAGAUUAUUCUAUUGAACGCCGAAGAUCAUCUGUAUUUUUCGCAUUGCCACAUCCUUCUCAAACUAGAUAAAAUAAAUUACGAUCCUUGGAGCCUUCAUUGUUCCUAAGAUUACAUAAGUUUUUAUAAAAUGUGCAAGAUAGAUUUUUUCAAGGGGCGGGCAUGAUUAGAGUAUUAGGAUGUGUCAAGUUUGUUUUUUCAUGACGUGCUGUUCACCACCGAUACGUGUGUAAAUUUUGCAUUGUUAUCAAUAUUUUAAUUAUGUAUUUGAUGAUGAUGUCUUUCCUAGUCAUCAUCGACACAAUGUAAUUAGUUUGUUUCACAAAUUUGUCAUGCUAAAUUAGUUGGCUGUGAAGUUUAAUCCUGCUUGCCGGAAGACAACUUGGACAUAAUUUUUAUCAGUUAAUUGGCGCUUUUUAUGUUCCUUAUGACCUUCUAACAAAUAUUCUGAACACAAGCAAAGCAGUAUCUUUCAGUGCUGGCUUCUGGUAGAUUUUGGCUGGCAAACUAAGUUGGUUCGUGAAUCCAUCAUAAGGGGCAUAUGCCACAUAUGUACUCACGGUAUGGAAAGGGCACUACAUCUACACCUAGCUUGGUCCCCGACAGAACUUGAUUAUUUCUUCUUUGCAGAAUGAUGUUAGUAAACAAUUAUUCGCACAUUAGAGGCUUGCAGGUUUAUCAAAUCGAUAGAAAAGAGUUUGCUAAAUCACAACACUCUACUCUAAUAUAGGGUAACCAUCAUCUUGUAAACUACAUACUCCACUGAUGUUCUAAUCUGUCCACAUUGCUUCUGCCAGAUAUCCUUGAGCAAUGGAAGCAAAUGCUUUUGUUUCAUCAACGGGAACAUCGGUUCUCAAGAGAGCAAAUUGUCACUCUCCAACAAAGGCUAUUUUGUUUUCUAUAUUGAUCAUCAACUGUCUAUGUUGCUUGUCCCAGGGACGCAUAUUUGCGCGUCACAAGCAUACCAGUAAUCUCUUAUCAGGGCACAGGCUAUUUGCACCGAAUUCCUUGGGCAAACCCUUAUCUUCGACAUGAAAUAAAUGACCUGGAGAAGGGCAUCUUGUCCAGAUCAGUGCAGCAUACGAGAUGCUCACUACCUGUUACAUCCAUUGGGGAAGUUGUGAUUGUAUCAUGUAUUCCCACGACAAAGACAGGUUGUUUUUCAGAUUCUUCAAGUUGGACAUGAUAGCACUAGAGUGGUCGUCCCUCCAUGACCAGGAGUUGGAUCACAUCAACUGUUUCCUUUACAAGGGCCAGUCUAUCCAGGCGAAGGAGGAAGGCAAGAUCAAAGUCGUUGUGGCCGGCCGGUCACGACGCGCGGAAACGACCGAGUGCCUUACCUCUUGCUGGCCAGUUCAUACCCUGUAAUGGGCACCGCACGCUGGGAGCCAGGACAAUGUUUUGUGUUAAAGGAGCCUUUUUUACAAGUGGUUGCAAAAAGAUAUUGCUGGAGCUCACAACAGAUGGAUUCAGUGUGCGGAAAUUCCUUUAAAGAUUGAAGUCCUUGUAUGGCAGCUCUUCCUUGAUUCUAUGCUUACCAGGGACGAAUAUGUGUAAGCGAAACUACGGUGGCUCCCCUCUCUGUAACUUCUGUAAUGAUGUUGAAACCGCUUUUCAUUUGCUCAUCGGUUGUCCUGUGGGCAAGCUCCUUUUGUGGUUCUUAACACUCACUGUUGCCCCUCUUCUCUCUGGAAAGCUUUCUCAUGGUUUUAUGCUUUCCUCCUUGGUGGGGAUUGAUGCUAUUUGUUGGGCUAUAUGUAUUACAGCGAAUAGAGCCACCUUUGAUGAACAUAGCAUGCGUUCUCUUCUGUAAAUGCUCAUUGCUAACUUCUUGGAGAGGUCUCCAGAAAGGGUAGGAUCAAAAGAUGCUGAAGCUGGGUAGUUCACGGUUCAUGCAUAAGGCUUUGGAGCUGGCACCCAUUCAGGCCGGAGUAGCAGAUCUUCAUCUUGCUGGAAAUGGAGCGGCUAUUCUGUUGUGUGCAUGGUUCCUACGCUGCACUUAUAAUCGUGCUUGUACUGUUAGGGUUUUGCGUCAUAGUAGACGUUUUGAGUGCGGGGCACCUAGCAGCGGCUUUCCUAAUAGUGCAUCAAACUCACUGUUCUCUCUUUUUUCGUCUUCUACAAUGUGUAAGAACUUUGUAUUUCCGUUGUGAAAUGGAAAGGGGAAUGGCCUGGUUCGAAAAA